CCAAGAAGAUCAAAAGAACGUGACCUCAUUUCAAAAGAAAACGUUUUGUACGGCAAAGAGACUUCUGAGCCUGAGAGAUGCCAAGGUAGAAAGGACAAGACUAAAAACACUGAGAAAGAGCAUUACCAAAGCAAGAGGGAACAUGCUCCUAGUGAAGAGAAGGAGAGUCAAAAAGCAGGUCCUUCCAGCGGCCAGGUUCAAAAGGCGUCACGCUGGAGCUCCGAGUUCGGCGGCGUUCCGAGGCCGUUGUGGCGGUUGUGGAGACGGCCCUGGCUGAGGUGGCUGCUGCUGUCGCUGCUGUCCCCUCUGUCCCCGCUGUUGCCGCUGUUCCCGGACCUUGGAGACCCCCGGCGGCUCCCUGUGACAGGCCCUGUGGCCCCGGGGAGCUGCCCGCCGCCUCGUCGGCCAGCCCGGCAGCAAUCCUGCCAGCACAGAAUAGCUCACUGCGUUUCAGGGUAAAGUGACGAUUAAUUUCUAUUUCCUGGCCUGGGUGCUGCUUCCUUCUUUAAGGAAGCUUCAAGGUUAAAGGUUAAGCUCAGUUAUGUCAGGGCCCAAGUCCGUUUCGUGAAGGGGCUCUUGUACGAAAGCUUAAGCUGGGAUUGACUCUCUGCUAAGCGGAGGCCAAACGUGUACCUACUGAGAAGCAGGUCCUAAGUGAUAACGUUUUCUAAAGAGACUGCUAAACACAUCUGAACAGUGCUGCUGCAGAACUCUGAAUGGGGGGAUAGCAACUGUCUUAACUGAUCUGGAAUCUUGAGUUUACUUUUCAGUGGACAAGAGGUGUGUCUCUCAAGGCAAACAAAGAGAGGAGUAACACCCGAUACUCAUGUCAACAUAAUUUAUGCUCAGAGCGUAGGUGUAGGAACAGCAUCGGUAUGUAUAUGGAACAUCGGGAGAGGAAGCUCUGUCGGUAUUUACAGUUUUUCUACUACCUUGUCAGAGAGACGUUAUCUCCACAUUAGAAAUGGAUGUAUUUUGAAACAGUGGUGGUGGAUCGGAUUUCUUCUUUCUAGUGUUAAUAUUUGCUCUUGAAUCGUACUUAAUACCUGGUAACGCCUCAAUCAGUUGUCAAAAAUAAACUUAAAAAUGUGUAA